rnacentral:rRNA from 1 species
UGGGGAAUUUUGCGCAAUGGGCGAAAGCCUGACGCAGCAACGCCGCGUGAGGGACGAAGGCCUUCGGGUUGUAAACCUCUUUCGACGGGAACGAAAUUGACGGUACCCGUAGAAGAAGCCCCGGCCAACUACGUGCCAGCAGCCGCGGUAAUACGUAGGGGGCGAGCGUUGUCCGGAUUUAUUGGGCGUAAAGAGCUCGUAGGCCGUUCGGUAAGUCAGAUGUGAAAACUCCAGGCUCAACUUGGAGACGCCAUCUGAUACUGCCGUGACUAGAGUCCGGUAGGGGAGCACGGAAUUCCUGGUGUAGCGGUGAAAUGCGCAGAUAUCAGGAGGAACACCAGCGGCGAAGGCGGUGCUCUGGGCCGGUACUGACGCUGAGGAGCGAAAGCGUGGGGAGCGA